rnacentral:pre_miRNA from 1 species
UAGGGUCACCAACUGUCCCAGUUUGCCUAAGACUGAGGAAUUUCCUGGGAUACAGAUGUUCAAUACCAAUGCCAGGACAGUUCCAGGCAAACUGGGACAGUUGGUCACCCAGGUGCCCA